rnacentral:lncRNA from 10 species
CACAGCUAGUAAGCGGCAAAACUGGGAUUUCAACUCAGUGCUGUCUGCUUCCAUGAGUUGAACUUCUGCCACCUAGAGUAGCCUGAGCAAAGGACAUGUGGCAACUUGAGCAGAGGGCCAUGAGAGGCCCUCUUUGAAGAGAAGAAAUUAGAGGCAGAGAAACCUGUGUGGGAGUGGCUGUAAAAAUCCAAGAGAAAGAUGGGGGUUGAGGGAUGAAGAGGAAGUGAUGUAAUGGUUAUAGCCGGCGGUCUGCAUUUGAAUCCUGAUUUGCAACUUAUUUGUGGUGAGUCCUGGCUCAGCCUCCAACUUGCUGUGAC